CGCAGGUAGGGGAUGCCUAGGCAGGGCUAGUGACUGGGGUGAAGUCGUAACAAGGUAGCCGUACCGGAAGGUGUGGCUGGAUCACCUCCUUA
rnacentral:rRNA from 1 species